UACGGAGGAUGCAAGCGUUAUCCGGAUUUAUUAGGUUUAAAGGGUGCGUAGGCGGAGACUUAAGUCAGUGGUAAAAGGCAAUAGCUUAACUAAUGUAAGCCAUUGAUACUGGGUUUCUUGAGUUCGGUAGAGGUAGGCGGAAUGUGUUGUGUAGCGGUGAAAUGCAUAGAUAUAACACAGAACACCGAUUGCGAAGGCAGCUUACUAUGCCGUUACUGACGCUGAUGCACGAAAGCGUGGGGAUCAAACAGG
rnacentral:rRNA from 1 species